CCGGGUACAACCUGGGCCGGCCGGGCCACCAGGGUUUGGCCAGGAUCCCGGGCCCGAGACAAAUCAAAACCUUGCCCAGCUGCGCACUAACCUAAGCCUCCCGCCCGACCGCCUCCGCGCUCUUCACCUGCGAGACACCCACUUCGGCCCCCAACCCCUACACCCGUCCCCUGCUUGAGGGUGGGAGGGCGAGGAGAAGGGCUGAGAGAGAGACGUUUACCGGAGCGGCGGGACGAUUGCACCCCACCGCCCAAGUGCAUCCCCGCGCAGGCUCUUUCCCUGGGUCUGCAGCAGGCCCUCCACUCCGGCUGGCGCCCAGGCGACAGGACGCAGCAACUCGCCCCUUUGCCCCAAAGCCGCCCCACACGGAUCCGACCUCAUUCGGGGCCUCCCCCGACCCCAGCAUCUUUCCGAGGCGGCCGGGGCUGGGCGGUUAGUUGACAAGCGCACCCUCUCUCCUCCAACAGGAAAUGCCACCUCGUGGAGCACACAGACAUGCAGGCAAUGACGACACAGCCAGGGAGGUGCUCUAAUAUGACGGAAGCACAAGGGAUUCUGGAAACCCAGCAGAGGGCCCUCAACCAGCCUGGAGGAGCCUCAUACGUCUUCUAGAAGAGACACUCUUCCAAGUGGGCUGGACUCAUGUGGGUUCAAGAAAGAAAAAAAAAAUGAAGGCUGUGGCACAAGUGCUGAAAUCUCAGGGAAUCAGAGGACAGGAAAUGGUGUUGAGCGGGCCUUCUGCAAGCUG